rnacentral:rRNA from 1 species
CCCUUAGAUGUUCUGGGCUGCACGCGUGCUACACUGAUAUUGCCAAUAUGUCAUUCUUAUCCGAAAUGGAUUGGGUAAUCAAGUAAUGAAAUUUCAUGCUUGGAAUCGGUAAUUGCAAUUUUAUCGUGAACGAGGAAUUCCUAGUAAGCACUAGUCAUCAGCUAAUGUUGAUUAUGUCCCUGCCAUUUGUACACACCGCCCGUCGCUACUACUGAUUGGGUGUUCAAGUGAGAUGCUUAGACCCUUGUUGCAUGGUUCAUUAUUGUGCUCCGAAAGGAAAAAGUUUCAAGCUUGAGUGUCUAGAGGAAGUAAAAGUCGUAACA